rnacentral:lncRNA from 1 species
AGAGGACUCCUCCAUCAUUCUCUCUUGAGAGUAAGCUGUCCCAAGGGCUAUGUGUUCUAUUCUGCCUCUCUAUGCCACAAGGGACACAGGAAACUGGUCCCACCUGCUCCUAGGACUGGGUGGUGAAGGAAGGGAUUAGCAUUAUUGGCCCACCCAACCCAAUCCAGAGGACAGCGAUGUGGUUGAGUAGAAAAACAACAUUCUAGACAAGAAAAACAACAGUCCGACAUCAGGACUGGAGAGGUGACCACAGAGUGGCUCCAGCUGCAUGUGCGACAUUCCAACCUCACCUUGGAACUCCCAGAGAGAUGCAAAAAAAGAAGGUCUGAGUAAGCCACCUGGCAGGUGAGGACUGGUAAUAGAGCAGAUUCAGGGGCCAACUCUUGAAGUGACUCAACUUGGUCCCAUCAGCUAGAGCAGUGAAGGGAAGAUGUGGGCUGUAGACCUCAUCGGCUACUUGAUGGGGCUGCGGAGAUUAACAAGCACCAGACAGACAUGGCUUCUUCCAGUGAGGCUCUCUCCAUCCUGUUGGAGGUGUGAGUGUUAAAUACAUGUAAACCUGAAACAGUAGCUUAACAACAGAGGCCAGCUGCCAGCAAAAUCAUUGCCUGCCACCUGACUGAUACUCUAUAAAAAUUUGUCAAAUGCAUAACCAAAUGAAUAACCACCUCUAACCAAAUGAUCGAUUGGAUUUGAACCCUUCAGAAUGGACAAGGAGCAAGUUGGGUGCACCCUCUCCCCAGAAAAACAAGUUCUCCGGUGAAAAUGAUAAGCAGCCAUCCUCUAAAAUCUCUGAAAAUCGUCCUAAGGGGAAACAG